rnacentral:rRNA from 1 species
AUUGAACGCUGGCGGCAGGCCUGACACAUGCAAGUCGAACGGUAGCACAGAGAGCUUGCUCUUGGGUGACGAGUGGCGGACGGGUGAGUAAUGUCUGGGAAACUGCCCGAUGGAGGGGGAUAACUACUGGAAACGGUAGCUAAUACCGCAUAACGUCGCAAGACCAAAGUGGGGGAACUUCGGGCCUCACACCAUCGGAUGUGCCCAGAUGGGAUUAGCUAGUAGGUGGGGUAAUGGCUCACCUAGGCGACGAUCCCUACCUGGUCUGAGAGGAUGACCAGCCACACUGGAACUGAGACACGGUCCAGACUCCUACGGGAGGCAGCAGUGGGGAAUAUUGCACAAUGGGCGCAAGCCUGAUGCAGCCAUGCCGCGUGUAUGAAGAAGGCCUUCGGGUUGUAAAGUACUUUCAGCGAGGAGGAAGGCAUUAAGGUUAAUAACCUUAGUGAUUGACGUUACUCGCAGAAGAAGCACCGGCUAACUCCGUGCCAGCCGCCGCCGUAAUAC